GAUGAACGCUAGCUACAGGCUUAACACAUGCAAGUCAAGGGACCGGCGCACGGGUGAGUAACACGUAUCCAACCUGCCCUUUACUCGGGGAUAGCCUUUCGCAAGAAAGAUUAAUACCCGAUGUACAGGAUGGGGAUGCGUUCCAUUAGGUUGUUGUUGUGGUAACGGCUCACCAAGCCUUCGAUGGAUAGGGGUUCUGGUAGGAAGGUCCCCCACAUGGGAACUGGGACACGGUCCAAACUCCUACGGGAGGCAGCAGGGAGGAAUAGUUGUCAAUGGGCGUUAGCCUGAACCAGCCAAUUAGCGUGAAGGAUGAAGGCUUAUGGGUCGUAAACUUCUUUUAUAUAAGAAUAUGUAUUAUAGGAAUAAGGAUCGGCUAACUCCGUGCCAGCAGCCGCGGUAAUAC
rnacentral:rRNA from 1 species